rnacentral:rRNA from 1 species
GGAAGGAGAGAUGGCUUAAAGGGAUGCGCGGGCUUCUUCUGCGUAUUUGCUCCAGGAUGGGACUGCGUCCGAUCAGGCUGUUGGCGGGGUAAUGGCCCACCAAGCCAGUAACCGGUACGGGCCUUGAGAGAGGUGGCCCGGAGAUGGACACUGAGAGAAGGGUCCAGGUCCUACGGGGCGCAGCAGGCGCGAAACCUUCGCAAUGCGCGCAAGCGUGACGAGGUUAAUCCGAGUGAUUUCCGCUGAGGAAACCUUUUGUCUGCUGUAAAUAGGCCGGCGAAUAAGGGGAGGGCAAGCCUGGUGUCAGCCGCCGCGGUAAUACCAGCUCCUCGAGUGGUCGGGGCGAUUAUUGGGCCCAAAGCAUCCGUAGCCGGGUCCGUAGGUCCUUCUGUUAAAUCCCACCGCCCAACGGUUUGACCCUGCAGAGGAAUCCCGCGAGACUAGGAGGGCGGGAAAGGCGGAAGGUACUUCCGCGUGGAGGGGGAUAAAAUCCUUU